GCCAUGCAAGACGUGACUUUGCUCCUCCUUUGCCUUCUGCCAUAAUUGUGAGGUCUCCCCAGCUAUGUGGAACUGAUUUGCCAUGGGGAACCUAGAGAGCAAGAGGAUUGCUCACUUAAGGGGAAACUAACUACCACGUUAUGCAGCUCUACUGUAAAAAUGCACAGGGUGAGAAACCAAGGCCUCCUUCUGACAGGAGCCACUUGCCGGUCAUGCUCUUCGAAAGACUGAAAAAAUUGACAGGACCAGAGAGAGUCCAUCUAGAAGAAUGUCAAACAAACCACUGAAGUAACGUGUUGACAAAAU
rnacentral:lncRNA from 1 species